rnacentral:rRNA from 1 species
CAGCCGCCGCGGUAAUACGGAGGGGGCUAGCGUUGUUCGGAAUUACUGGGCGUAAAGCGCACGUAGGCGGCUUGGUAAGUUAGAGGUGAAAGCCUGGAGCUCAACUCCAGAAUUGCCUUUAAGACUGCCGAGCUAGCAGGUGAGAGAGGUAAGUGGAAUUCCGAGUGUAGAGGUGAAAUUCGUAGAUAUUCGGAAGAACACCAGUGGCGAAGGCGGCUUACUGGCUCAUACUGGACGCUGAGGUGCGAAAGCGUGGGGAGCAAACAGGAUUAGAUACCCCAGUAGUCCCUGUCUCUUAUAU